rnacentral:tRNA from 1 species
UCAAACAAAGAAUAGUUUAAUGUAGAACGUUAGCUUUGGGAGCCAAUAGUGGGGGUUAGAGCCCCUUUUCUUUG